AGCACCGGAGAAGCAUGCAAAGAGUGGAAUCCAACGGAUAACGUGUGUUCAGAAUGCAAGCCUGGAUUUUUUGGUCCUAACUGCCUUGAAUCUUGCCGCUAUCCUAACUACGGGAAGGGUUGUCAGAUGUUUUGUAACUGUGAAAUGGAGAAUUGUAGUUCCAUCACAGGAUGUGAAGGCAUACAAUUUCAUUGAUUUGAUGCAAAUAUCCCUCAACAUUUAUUUCUUUAUUAUAUAUACAACGUAGCUAAACAUUACUUAUUUUCUGCUGAUUCGAUUUUCUUCAGAUGUUCCUCUAACGUUCUCACGUGAGGUUCUGAUUAUUUCAAGCGUGUCUCAUCCUGCAUUCAGCUUAUCUGAUGAAGAAUGUCUACCGGGAUAUUUUGGAAGAAAAUGCGAAAUUCCUUGCCGGUAUCCAGACUACGGUGUUCAAUGUCAGUCAAAAUGUGAAUGAAGGAGACCUGAAUAUUGUGAUCAUAUAAGAGGAUGUUUAGUCUUUAAAUUUAAGCACUGGAGAAGCAUGCAAAGAGUGGAAUCCAGCGGAUAACAGGUGUUCAGAAUGCAAGCCUGGAUUUUUUGGUCCUAGCUGCCUUGAACCUUGUCGCUAUCCUAACUACGGGAGGGGUUGUCAGAUGUUUUGUAACUGUGAAAUGGAGAAUUGUAGUUCCAUCACAGGAUGUGAAGGCAUAUA